GGGUUGUGAGGUUAAGCGACUAAGCGUACACGGUGGAUGCCCUGGCAGUCAGAGGCGAUGAAGGACGUGCUAAUCUGCGAUAAGCGUCGGUAAGGUGAUAUGAACCGUUAUAACCGGCGAUUUCCGAAUGGGGAAACCCAGUGUGUUUCGACACACUAUCAUUAACUGAAUCCAUAGGUUAAUGAGGCGAACCGGGGGAACUGAAACAUCUAAGUACCCCGAGGAAAAGAAAUCAACCGAGAUUCCCCCAGUAGCGGCGAGCGAACGGGGAGCAGCCCAGAGCCUGAAUCAGUGUGUGUGUUAGUGGAAGCGUCUGGAAAGGCGCGCGAUACAGGGUGACAGCCCCGUACACAAAAAUGCACAUGCUGUGAGCUCGAUGAGUAGGGCGGGACACGUGGUAUCCUGUCUGAAUAUGGGGGGACCAUCCUCCAAGGCUAAAUACUCCUGACUGACCGAUAGUGAACCAGUACCGUGAGGGAAAGGCGAAAAGAACCCCGGCGAGGGGAGUGAAAAAGAACCUGAAACCGUGUACGUACAAGCAGUGGGAGCACGCUUAGGCGUGUGACUGCGUACCUUUUGUAUAAUGGGUCAGCGACUUAUAUUCUGUAGCAAGGUUAACCGAAUAGGGGAGCCGAAGGGAAACCGAGUCUUAACUGGGCGUUAAGUUGCAGGGUAUAGACCCGAAACCCGGUGAUCUAGCCAUGGGCAGGUUGAAGGUUGGGUAACACUAACUGGAGGACCGAACCGACUAAUGUUGAAAAAUUAGCGGAUGACUUGUGGCUGGGGGUGAAAGGCCAAUCAAACCGGGAGAUAGCUGGUUCUCCCCGAAAGCUAUUUAGGUAGCGCCUCGUGAAUUCAUCUCCGGGGGUAGAGCACUGUUUCGGCAAGGGGGUCAUCCCGACUUACCAACCCGAUGCAAACUGCGAAUACCGGAGAAUGUUAUCACGGGAGACACACGGCGGGUGCUAACGUCCGUCGUGAAGAGGGAAACAACCCAGACCGCCAGCUAAGGUCCCAAAGUCAUGGUUAAGUGGGAAACGAUGUGGGAAGGCCCAGACAGCCAGGAUGUUGGCUUAGAAGCAGCCAUCAUUUAAAGAAAGCGUAAUAGCUCACUGGUCGAGUCGGCCUGCGCGGAAGAUGUAACGGGGCUAAACCAUGCACCGAAGCUGCGGCAGCGACGCUUAUGCGUUGUUGGGUAGGGGAGCGUUCUGUAAGCCUGUGAAGGUGUGCUGUGAGGCAUGCUGGAGGUAUCAGAAGUGCGAAUGCUGACAUAAGUAACGAUAAAGCGGGUGAAAAGCCCGCUCGCCGGAAGACCAAGGGUUCCUGUCCAACGUUAAUCGGGGCAGGGUGAGUCGACCCCUAAGGCGAGGCCGAAAGGCGUAGUCGAUGGGAAACAGGUUAAUAUUCCUGUACUUGGUGUUACUGCGAAGGGGGGACGGAGAAGGCUAUGUUGGCCGGGCGACGGUUGUCCCGGUUUAAGCGUGUAGGCUGGUUUUCCAGGCAAAUCCGGAAAAUCAAGGCUGAGGCGUGAUGACGAGGCACUACGGUGCUGAAGCAACAAAUGCCCUGCUUCCAGGAAAAGCCUCUAAGCAUCAGGUAACAUCAAAUCGUACCCCAAACCGACACAGGUGGUCAGGUAGAGAAUACCAAGGCGCUUGAGAGAACUCGGGUGAAGGAACUAGGCAAAAUGGUGCCGUAACUUCGGGAGAAGGCACGCUGAUAUGUAGGUGAAGCGACUUGCUCGUGGAGCUGAAAUCAGUCGAAGAUACCAGCUGGCUGCAACUGUUUAUUAAAAACACAGCACUGUGCAAACACGAAAGUGGACGUAUACGGUGUGACGCCUGCCCGGUGCCGGAAGGUUAAUUGAUGGGGUUAGCGCAAGCGAAGCUCUUGAUCGAAGCCCCGGUAAACGGCGGCCGUAACUAUAACGGUCCUAAGGUAGCGAAAUUCCUUGUCGGGUAAGUUCCGACCUGCACGAAUGGCGUAAUGAUGGCCAGGCUGUCUCCACCCGAGACUCAGUGAAAUUGAACUCGCUGUGAAGAUGCAGUGUACCCGCGGCAAGACGGAAAGACCCCGUGAACCUUUACUAUAGCUUGACACUGAACAUUGAGCCUUGAUGUGUAGGAUAGGUGGGAGGCUUUGAAGUGUGGACGCCAGUCUGCAUGGAGCCGACCUUGAAAUACCACCCUUUAAUGUUUGAUGUUCUAACGUUGACCCGUAAUCCGGGUUGCGGACAGUGUCUGGUGGGUAGUUUGACUGGGGCGGUCUCCUCCUAAAGAGUAACGGAGGAGCACGAAGGUUGGCUAAUCCUGGUCGGACAUCAGGAGGUUAGUGCAAUGGCAUAAGCCAGCUUGACUGCGAGCGUGACGGCGCGAGCAGGUGCGAAAGCAGGUCAUAGUGAUCCGGUGGUUCUGAAUGGAAGGGCCAUCGCUCAACGGAUAAAAGGUACUCCGGGGAUAACAGGCUGAUACCGCCCAAGAGUUCAUAUCGACGGCGGUGUUUGGCACCUCGAUGUCGGCUCAUCACAUCCUGGGGCUGAAGUAGGUCCCAAGGGUAUGGCUGUUCGCCAUUUAAAGUGGUACGCGAGCUGGGUUUAGAACGUCGUGAGACAGUUCGGUCCCUAUCUGCCGUGGGCGCUGGAGAACUGAGGGGGGCUGCUCCUAGUACGAGAGGACCGGAGUGGACGCAUCACUGGUGUUCGGGUUGUCAUGCCAAUGGCACUGCCCGGUAGCUAAAUGCGGAAGAGAUAAGUGCUGAAAGCAUCUAAGCACGAAACUUGCCCCGAGAUGAGUUCUCCCUGACCCUUUAAGGGUCCUGAAGGAACGUUGAAGACGACGACGUUGAUAGGCCGGGUGUGUAAGCGCAGCGAUGCGUUGAGCUAACCGGUACUAAUGAACCGUGAGGCUUAACCUUACAACGCCGAAG
rnacentral:rRNA from 1 species